UCCUACGGGAGGCAGCAGUGGGGAAUAUUGCGCAAUGGAGGAAACUCUGACGCAGCAACGCCGCGUGAAGGAUGAAGGUCUUCGGAUUGUAAACUUCUUUGAUGAGGGACGAAGGAAGUGACGGUACCUCAAAAACAAGCCACGGCUAACUACGUGCCAGCAGCCGCGGUAAUACGUAGGUGGCGAGCGUUGUCCGGAAUUACUGGGUGUAAAGGGCGCGUAGGCGGGGAUGUAAGUCAGAUGUGAAAUACCAUGGCUCAACCGUGGGGCUGCAUCUGAAACUAUGUUUCUUGAGUGCUGGAGAGGAAAGCGGAAUUCCUAGUGUAGCGGUGAAAUGCGUAGAUAUUAGGAGGAACACCAGUGGCGAAGGCGGCUUUCUGGACAGUAACUGACGCUGAGGCGCGAAAGCGUGGGGAGCGAACAGGAUUAGAUACCCUGGUAGUCCACGCCGUAAACGAUGGAUACUAGGUGUAGGAGGUAUCGACCCCUUCUGUGCCGGAGUAAACACAAUAAGUAUCCCACCUGGGGAGUACGGCCGCAAGGUUGAAACUCAAAGGAAUUGACGGGGGCCCGCACAAGCAGUGGAGUAUGUGGUUUAAUUCGAAGCAACGCGAAGAACCUUACCAGGGCUUGACAUACAGAGGGAUAUGUCAGAGAUGGCAUAGCUCUUCGGAGCCUCUGUACAGGUGGUGCAUGGUUGUCGUCAGCUCGUGUCGUGAGAUGUUGGGUUAAGUCCCGCAACGAGCGCAACCCUUGUUGUUAGUUGGUAACACGUAAAGGUGACCACUCUAACGAGACUGCCGGUGACAAAUCGGAGGAAGGUGGGGACGACGUCAAAUCAUCAUGCCCCUUAUGUCCUGGGCUACACACGUACUACAAUGGCUACAACAAAGGGAAGCGAAGCCGUAAGGCGGAGCAAAUCCCCAAAAGUAGUCCCAGUUCGGAUUGUGGGCUGCAACCCGCCCACAUGAAGUCGGAAUUGCUAGUAAUGGCAGGUCAGCAUACUGCCGUGAAUACGUUCCCGGGCCUUGUACACACCGCCCGUCACACCAUGAGAGUCAGCAACACCCGAAGUCAGUAGCUUAACCGCAAGGAGGGCGCUGCCGAAGGUGGGGCCGAUGAUUGGGGUGAAGUCGUAACAAGGUA
rnacentral:rRNA from 1 species